GAGGUAGCAAUACCUAGCGGCAGACGGGUGAGUAACAUGUGGGAAUCUGCCUUUUGGUUCGGAACAACACGGGGAAACCUGUGCUAAUACCGGAUAAGUCCUAACGGAGAAAGUUUUAAUGCCAAAAGAUGAGCCCGCAUUUGAUUAGCUAGUUGGUAAGGUAAAAGCUUACCAAGGCGACAAUCAAUAGCUGAUUUGAGAGGAUGACCCCCCACACUGGUACUGAGACACGGCCCAAACUCC
rnacentral:rRNA from 1 species